rnacentral:rRNA from 1 species
UACGAACGCUGGCGGCAAGCCAGACACAUGCAAGUCGAACGAGACCUUCGGGUCUAGUGGCGCGCGGGUGUGUCACGCGUGGCAAUCUGCCCUUUGUGUCGGAAUAACAGUUGGCGACGACUCCGAAUAGCGCAUGAUGACUAAAGUCGAAAGAUUUAUCGCCAGAGGAUGAGCCAGCGUAGGCUUAGCUAUUUGGUGUGGUAAAGGAGCACCAAGGCGACGAUCCUUAGCUGGUCUGAGAGGAUGAUCAGCCACACUGGGACUGAGACACGGCCCAGCCUCCUACGGGAGGCAGCAGUGGGGAAUAUUGGACAAUGGGCGAAAGCCUGAUCCAGCAAUGCCGCGUGAGUGAUGAAGGCCUUAGGGUUGUAAAGCUCUUUUACCCGGGAUGAUAAUGACAGUACCGGGAGAAUAAGCUCCGGCUAACUCCGUGCCAGCCGCCGCCGUAA